rnacentral:rRNA from 1 species
AACUUCGGGAAACCGGAGCUAAUACCGGAUAAGAUAUCGAACCGGCAUGGUUCGAUAGUGAAAGANGGUUUUGCUAUCACUUAUAGAUGGACCCGCGCCGUAUUAGCUAGUUGGUGAGGUAACGGCUCACCAAGGCAACGAUACGUAGCCGACCUGAGAGGGUGAUCGGCCACACUGGAACUGAGACACGGUCCAGACUCCUACGGGAGGCAGCAGCG